UGUCCCACACUAUAUGACCUAUUAUUUACACAUAUAACAUAUAACUAACUAACUAAUUAACUACUUACGCGCAAUAAACUCAACUAACGUUAAAGGCGUAAUGUACUAUACUAACACGACUAACUAUAUAGCAGGAAGGAUGGGGGAGGUUAGACAUAUAUUUUAAAUACUAAUUAUGAAUUAACUAACAUACAGGUUAAUGAAAAGUGUAAUUAUUGACGAGGUAAUUUAACCCAUAAUUACUUUUAUUUUAGUCCAAAUCUUCUAGCUUCUCUUUUAUUCUAUUUUAAACUGUUCAGCUAUUAACUGAUCUGAUAUGAUAAUUUUGGUUACAACUAGAGGGAACCGACUAACGUUGGGUCACACUUUAAUAGGGGGGUAAGGCCCAGUGCAUAAUUUCAUCGACGGAGGUCAAUUUAAAAACAAUCCUAGCUACCAUAGGUGGCUUUUUUGUAAGAUAUCGCUUUUUUGAUAACUUACACUCACUUUUUUUGUUUAUUCACAAUUAUGUGUUGUAUGACAACAAUUUUUAUGUACACUUUAUGUUAUGUUUUUCUCUUUCCCUUAAUUAUGUUUAAUAGUGUCAGGAGAUGUAAAGCUACUGCAGAAAUUAUGAAGGACAACUCUGGAAUCGGGAUCCCGAGGUAUUUUAACACGUUUUUCGGAGCGGAGCGCCUCUUAAUGGUGCGCCUCUUAAUGCUCCAUGGCGCCAAAUGAAGCAUUUGUGGAAGGAGAUGGACAGACGAUGUUUCAGGCAGGACCCUUCUUCGGACUGAGUCGAGAAGAGAUAGAGGACAGAAAGAGAUGCUGGUUUAAACCGAAGAUUCUCCCGACUCUCAGUCUGAAGAAGGGUCUCGACCCGAAAAGUCACCUAUUCCUUUUAUCCAGAGAUGCUGUCUGACUCGUUGAGCUACUCCAGCUAUAUUUGGUUUGCAGUGCAAACUGUGAAAUGUUGCCAAUGCCUCUAACUCAUGUCUGGAAAGAACUAAAGAGAAGUGUGCAAUGACACAGUCACCUCAGCAACCAAUAUUACUGCAGCCCUCGUCUACUCUGAGGUCGUUGUUAGAGCUCAUAGCAGAGUUCAGUGAUGAAGUGGAGACAUCUUUCAUUUUGUUGCUCAUUAAACGCAGGAUAGGAAAAUCUAUGAACGACCUGCAAGAUGUGCUCUCCUGCGAGGUAACCCCUAGCCCUCUGCCUCUUGCUCCUCUUGACAGCUUAUCUAACUCUGUGUGAACAUAAAACAUAGAACAGUACAGCAGAGGAACAUGCCCUUUGACACCCAAUGUCUGUGCCGAACAUGAUGCUAAAUUAAACAAAUCCCUUCUGCUGCAUGUGAUCCAUAUAACUAUAUUUUUUUGCAUAUUCCUGUCCCUUUCUAAAAGCAUUUUAAAUGUGUAUGGUCCCUGACAAAUCUCCCAGUUAUGCUAAUCUAACAGUGUAGUCUCUGAUCAAUCUCCAAGUUAUGCUAUAUUCCAAGAAAUGCCUUCAUAUGAUUUCAUAAUAACAGCGUUGUGUGGAGAACUUGUAGGGAUUUGCAUGUUUUUGAAUGAAUGAAUGAAUCGGUUUAUUGGCCAAGUAUUCACAUACAAGGAAUUUGCUUUGGUGCUCCGGCCGCAAGUGACAACAUGACAUACAGUGACAGUUAGGAAUGAUACAUAAAACAAUAACAAUAAAACAUUAUUGAUUAAUUUUCAGUGACUGCCAUGUCAAUCCCAGGCCACAUUAACAUUUGAAACAUAGAAGAAUGGAAGAUACUCGACAUUUGCAAAAUCGUAGAGUUAAAAUAAAUUGAUUCAUGCUUAAGUAAUUGACAACAUUUUUAAAAGGUAUUUGAGGGAUGGGGGUAUAAAGGUCCUUCCUCUGGCACAACAUGUGCACGGUUAAUAGAAUGCACAAGCUUGAGGGCACUGAGCUCCAAAAUGCCAGUGAUGCAUGUACUGGAUAUGCUUGUUCAUCAAACAGCAUUUUAAUCCUGCAAAAGCAGCCAGUGGUAUACCAACUAUUGAUCUGUCAAUCUCAACUUCAUGCGCUUUGUACCUAAAGCACCAGGGCCAAUCAGUUUUAAUUCAAGCACUCAUUAUGCUCCCACCUGAUUUUCAUUUCUGUUGCUUCCAAUUGAAAUUAAAAUUGAAAGAUGUACAGUACAUUCAGAAAGAAUUCAGACUCCUUCACUUGUUCCACAUUUUGUUGUGUUACAGCCUUAUUCUAAAUUGGAAUAAAUUUUUUUUUUAUCAUCAAUCUACACACAAUAUCCCAUAAUAAAGCGAAAACAGGUGUUUAGACAUUUUUGCAAAGUAAUUAAAAAGAAAUAACUGAAAUAUCACAUUUACAUAAGUAUUCAGACCCUUUACUCAGUACUUUGUAGAGGCACCUUUGGCGGCGAUUACAGCCUUAUGUCUUCUUGGCAUACCUGUAUUUGGGUAAUUUCUCCCAUUCUUCUCUGCAGAUCCUCUCAAGCUCUGUCAGGUUGGAUGGGGAGCGUUGAUGCACAGCUAUUUUCAGGUUCCUCCAGAGAUGUUCGAUCGGGUUCAAGUCCGGGCUCUGGCUGGGCCACUCAAGGACAUUCACAGUCUUGUCACAAAGCCACUCCUGCGUUGUCUUGGCUCUGCGCUUAGGGUUGUUGUCCUGUUGGAAGGUGCGAGGACCUGAACACUCUGGAGCAGGUUUUCAUCAAGGAUCUCUCUGUACUUUGCUCCGCUCAUCUUUCCCUUGAUCCUGACUAGUCUCCCAGUUCCUGCCGCUGAAAAACAUCUCCACAUAAUGAUGCUGCCACCACCAUGCUUCACCGUAUGUAAAAUUAGAUCUAACUUCAUUUAUGGAAGUCGAAUGUUAAUAAUUCAAGAUACCUUUGGACCGUAUGUAUUGGAACCAGAAUAAUCACAAUUGUUUAUCAGUUUGUCAUUUGAUGACUAUUGAAGAGAUCUACAAUUUACAAAAGCUAUAGAAAUUUUGAUCAAAGGGGAAUUUUAAAAGAAGAGAGCAAUAUGAAUAGACCUAUUUUUUUUUAAUUCAGUCGCGCUAGUGCACAAUAAACCACAUGCUACGAAAUCAACUUUUAACAAUACAAAGUAGCUUGUGAUCCUAUGGGUGGAAAUUGGGGGUAGAUCAAUCUUACACAGGCUCCAUCCCAAUCACACCUACAAAAUCUUCAAAUUAAUAGGAAGGAUGAAGGAACUGAUGUUACAGCUCUCCCCCAAGCCAACAUUCAUAGAGCAGCAAAACUCUGAAUCUCUGAAAAUCCUCAGUCCUAUUUUUCAGGAAUCCUGAUAUUUCAGCAUUAGGCUCACCUUAUUCUAUUUCCCAAGCAAAUCAAGCCCCACAUUCCUUAUCUCCACAGUCCUUUUAAAUUCUCUGGGGCCUUGUUCCCCACAUCCCCAUUAAACUCACCUGGUUUUCUCUCCCGUGAUCCCUUUAAACUCAUGGUUCACAGAAAGCUACAUAGACCAGCGACACAAUUCCUCGCGAAUUGGGACGUCCACGUACGACCACACCUACGACAGCCUACUACCACACAGGCGACAACCUACGACAACCGAAGUCAAUUUAUGUUCACCCGCGACAAGAUACGACAAGCUAAGACCCUGUCGGCGACAACUGAAGACGUCAAAUUCUGUGAUUAGCCAGAGAGUGAGAAUUGUGUGAAAUGUUUGAGUCUCACGCUCAAUGCGUGAGAGUAGACAGCGCUGUUUACGAGCAGUUAGAGACUGAGAACUGAGACUGAGAAUAAGGACAAGUGCAAAUUGCAUGUCAGACAUGGCAUGUCCAGCAGUCUCAGACAAAAAGGGGGAAAAAACAAUAUUAAGUCCAGAAGGCUGCAGUGUGCCCAAAUAGAAGACGAUGCGCAGACCCUGAAGCUCGCUUUGCCUGUUUCUAUUCUUUUUGCCUGUUUCUAUUCUCUUGCAGUUUGUCUGCAUAUUCUUUGGAACCUAAGUUGCCAUCUGACUUUGUGACAUUAUGAUUUAGAGAAUGAAUUAAAUGCCAAAUCAUAUAUGACAACAAAAGAGCUUAUUGUUUCACCAUGAAUUCAUUUCCACUUCCAGGGCAGGAACUGAAUGCGAAAAUCCAAUGAGGUUGAAUGGCAUUCCAGAUGACAAUAUGAUAUCUUUGUUAAGCUAAUGAUGAAAUAACACUGAC